UCGCAAGAGGAGCUUGGAGACAGGUGGUGCGAUGGUUGUCGUCAGCUCGUGUCGUGAGAUGUUGGGUUAAGUCCCGCGACGAGCGCAACCCCUACGUUUAGUUUGCUAACGCGUGAAGGCGAGCACUCUAGACGAACUGCCGUUGACAAACGGAGGAAGUGGGAUGACGUCAAAUCAUCAUGCCCCUUAUGUUCUGGACUACACACGUGCUACAAUGGCCGGUACAGACGGAGGCGAAGCCGCGAGGCGGAGCAAAUCCGAAAAAGCCGGUCUCAGUUCGGAUCGCAGUCUGCAACUCGACUGCGUGAAGUUGGAAUCGCUAGUAAUCGCGGAUCAGCAUGCCGCGGUGAAUACGUUCCCGGGCCUU
rnacentral:rRNA from 1 species